rnacentral:hammerhead_ribozyme from 1 species
AUCCAGCUGACGAUUCCCAAAUAGAACGAAACGCGCAUCCUGAAU